rnacentral:rRNA from 1 species
UGGGGAAUUUUGGACAAUGGGCGAAAGCCUGAUCCAGCAAUGCCGCGUGUGUGAAGAAGGCCUUCGGGUUGUAAAGCACUUUUGUCCGGAAAGAAAUCCUUGGCUCUAAUACAGUCGGGGGAUGACGGUACCGGAAGAAUAAGCACCGGCUAACUACGUGCCAGCAGCCGCGGUAAUACGUAGGGUGCAAGCGUUAAUCGGAAUUACUGGGCGUAAAGCGUGCGCAGGCGGUUUGCUAAGACCGAUGUAAAUCCCCGGGCUCAACCUGGGAACUGCAUUGGUGACUGGCAGGCUAGAGUAUGGCAGAGGGGGGUAGAAUUCCACGUGUAGCAGUGAAAUGCGUAGAGAUGUGGAGGAAUACCGAUGGCGAAGGCAGCCCCCUGGGCCAAUACUGACGCUCAUGCACGAAAGCGUGGGGAGCAAACAGGAUUAGAUACCCUGGUAGUCCACGCCCUAAACGAUGUCAACUAGUUGUUGGGGAUUCAUUUCCUUAGUAACGUAGCUAACGCGUGAAGUUGACCGCCUGGGGAGUACGGUCGCAAGAUUAAAACUUCAAAGGAAUUGACGGGGUCAUAGCUGUUUCCU